GCAUGGCUCGGUGUGAAAAACUCCGGUGGUAUGGGAUGGGCCCGCGUCUGAUUAGGCAGUUGGCGGGGUAACGGCCCACCAAACCGACGAUCAGUAGCCGGCCUGAGAGGGCGACCGGCCACAUUGGGACUGAGACACGGCCCAAACUCCUACGGGAGGCAGCAGUGGGGAAUAUUGCACAAUGGGGGAAACCCUGAUGCAGCGACGCCGCGUGAGCGAAGAAGUAUUUCGGUAUGUAAAGCUCUAUCAGCAGGGAAGAUAAUGACGGUACCUGACUAAGAAGCCCCGGCUAACUACGUGCCAGCAGCCGCGGUAAUACGUAGGGGGCAAGCGUUAUCCGGAUUUACUGGGUGUAAAGGGAGCGUAGACGGCAAGGCAAGUCUGAUGUGAAAACCCAGGGCUUAACCCUGGGACUGCAUUGGAAACUGUCUGGCUCGAGUGCCGGAGAGGUAAGCGGAAUUCCUAGUGUAGCGGUGAAAUGCGUAGAUAUUAGGAAGAACACCAGUGGCGAAGGCGGCUUACUGGACGGUAACUGACGUUGAGGCUCGAAAGCGUGGGGAGCAAACAGGAUUAGAUACCCUGGUAGUCCACGCCGUAAACGAUG
rnacentral:rRNA from 1 species